rnacentral:tRNA from 1 species
UCCCGGAUAGCCAAAAGGUAAGGCCAGAUACGCAUAGGAGUGAGGGGUUCGACUCCCCUCUCCGGGAA